rnacentral:rRNA from 1 species
AAAUUGAAGAGUUUGAUCAUGGCUCAGAUUGAACGCUGGCGGCAGGCCUAACACAUGCAAGUCGAACGGUAACAGGAAGCAGCUUGCUGCUUUGCUGACGAGUGGCGGACGGGUGAGUAAUGUCUGGGAAACUGCCUGAUGGAGGGGGAUAACUACUGGAAACGGUGGCUAAUACCGCAUAACGUCGCAAGACCAAAGAGGGGGACCUUCGGGCCUCUUGCCAUCAGAUGUGCCCAGAUGGGAUUAGCUUGUUGGUGAGGUAACGGCUCACCAAGGCGACGAUCCCUAGCUGGUCUGAGAGGAUGACCAGCCACACUGGAACUGAGACACGGCCCAGACUCCUACGGGAGGCAGCAGUGGGGAAUAUUGCACAAUGGGCGCAAGCCUGAUGCAGCCAUGCCGCGUGUAUGAAGAAGGCCUUCGGGUUGUAAAGUACUUUCAGCGGGGAGGAAGGUGUUGUGGUUAAUAACCGC